CACGUCACAGCACAGCUCAGCCUGCAGGAACAUCUGCUUACCUGUGAGACCUCACAGGAAUAACCAGAGGAUGUCUUGGGAAAUGGCAAAUACCUUACUGGAUGUGAACAGCUGCUGCUGCCUUGGCCCAAACUGCACAUGUGGUAGAACUUUCAGGCCUGAGAUAUUUUUGCCGUGUGGACAUCUGCCUUGUCCCUUCACAUCUGUAUAUCCUGAAUCUGGUGAGGGCUGGAACAAACAGGUAUUACGAUAAGACUGCAAUGUUGCUAAAAGCUCCUUUGAUUUGUGAGAACCAUGACUUUUCCCAGGAGAACAGUGCCGGCUAGGGACAAGGCACAGAGAUUUGGUGGCAUCUCCAUCCCUGGGGUCAUCAGCAUCUUCAUGGAUGAGGUCUUGUGCAACUUGAACUGUCUGUGAGUAGGAGACACAGAAAGAUCUCUUCGCAUUGGAAUAUGCCCAGGAUUGAUCCAUUAAAUGUCAUGGAAAUGUCAUAUCAUGUCA